UCCCAGGUGACUCAAAAGAUAAGGAAUCUGCCUGCAAUGCAGGAGACCUGGGUUCAAUCCCUGGGCUGGGAA
rnacentral:tRNA from 1 species